UAGGGAAUCUUCCACAAUGGACGCAAGUCUGAUGGAGCAACGGCCGCGUGAGUGAAGAAGGUUUUCGGACCGUAAAGCUCUGUUGUUGGUGAAGAAGGAUAGAGGUAGUAACUGGCCUUUAUUUGACGGUAAUCAACCAGAAAGUCACGGCUAACUACGUGCCAGCAGCCGCGGUAAUACGUAGGUGGCAAGCGUUGUCCGGAUUUAUUGGGCGUAAAGCGAGCGCAGGCGGAAGAAUAAGUCUGAUGUGAAAGCCCUCGGCUUAACCGAGGAAUUGCAUCGGAAACUGUUUUCUUGAGUGCAGAAGAGGAGAGUAGAACUCCAUGUGUAGCGGUGGAAUGCGUAGAUAUAUGGAAGAAUACCAGUGGCGAAGGCGGCUCUCUGGUCUGCAACUGACGCUGAGGCUCAAAAGCAUGGGUAGCGAACAGGAUUAGAUACCCUGGUAGUCCAUGCCGUAAACGAUGAGUGCUAAGUGUUGGGAGGCUUCCGCCUCUCAGUGCUGCAGCUAACGCAUUAAGCACUCCGCCUGGGGGAGUACGACCGCAAGGUUGAA
rnacentral:rRNA from 1 species